CUCGGUGACGAUAGCAAUAGGGACCCACCUCUUACCAUUCCGAACAGAGAAGUUAAACCUAUUAGCGCCGAAAAUACUGAAUUUAUUUGGGAAGAUAGGUCGUCGCCGGGA
rnacentral:rRNA from 1 species